AGGCGGGCGGUGGGCGUGGCCACUGAUUUGGAAGUGUGCAGGGUUAACCCUGGACCCCAGCUUUCUAUCAGUAGAAGAUGCUAGGUGUAAUGGGGCCGGAUGGACUCUUGUGGUGAGAGCAGGGUGAUGUCAGUGGUCAGAAAGCGUUCCUAUCUGAAGACGAGAGAAACUUGGCGCGAUCAGUGUCUAGAGCCUGGUCAAAAGGUACAACUAAUGAGAAGGAAAGAACAAGAGAGGAAAGGGGAGAAUUCUGCUGCCACCAUGCAGAGAAGUAUUAUGUCAUUUUUCCAACCCACAAAAGAGGGUAAAGCAAAGAAGCCUGAGAAGGAGACAGCCAACAGCAUCAGAGAGAAGGAGCCCCCUCCAAAGGUGGCAUUGAAGGAGAGGAAUGGAGUGGUGCCUGAGAGUGAUUCUCCAGUGAAGAGGCCAGGAAGGAAGGCAGCCCAAGUCCUAAGCAGUGAAGGGGAGGAAGAAGAUGAAGCUCCUGGCACCCCCAAAGUCCAGAAGUCCGUGUCAGACUCCAAACAGAGCUCUCCUCCCAGCCCUGACACAUGUCCUGAGAACAGUCCUUUCUUCAGCAGCCCCUCCAUGGACAUCUCCCCAUCAGGAUUCCCGAAGCGUCGCACUGCUCGGAAGCAGCUCCCAAAACGGACAAUUGAGGACACUGUGGAAGAGCAGGAUGAGGACAAAGACAGAGCAGCCAAGAAAAGGAAGAAGAAAGAAGAAACACAGACCCCAACAGAAAGCCUCACAGAGGCUGAAGAUGUAAAACAGAAGGAAGAAAAGGAGGGGGUCCAGCCCAUAGUGCCCCCUGAGCCUGCAAAGUCUCCUGAGUUGGUACCCCUGACAAAGAAAGAGAAUGUUCCAGUGUGUAAAGCUGGCAUGAAACAGAAGCCUCAGGAAGAGGAGCAGAGCAAGCCUCCUGCCAGAGGUGGCAAGACACUCAGCAGCUUCUUCACCCCCCGGAAGCCAGCACUGAAAGCUGAAGUGAAACAAGAAGAGUCAGGUACUCCAGGGAAGGAAGAGACCAAGGGAAUCCUGGAUCCAACAAAUUAUAAUCCUUCCAAGAGUAACUACCAUCCCAUUGAAGAUGCCUGCUGGAAACAUGGCCAGAAGGUUCCUUUUCUCGCUGUGGCCCGGACAUUUGAGAAGAUAGAGGAGGUUUCUGCUCGGCUCAAGAUGGUGGAGACACUGAGCAACCUGCUGCGCUCCGUGGUGGCCCUGUCACCUCCAGACCUGCUCCCUGUCCUUUACCUCAGCCUCAGCCGCCUUGGGCCUCCUCAGCAGGGACUAGAGCUGGGUGUUGGUGAUGGUGUCCUCCUCAAGGCAGUUGCCCAGGCCACAGGUCGCCAACUGGAGUCCGUCCGGGCUGAAGUAGCUGAGAAGGGUGAUGUGGGGCUGGUGGCCGAGAACAGCCGCAGCACUCAGAGACUCAUGCUGCCCCCACCUCCACUCACCACCUCCGGGGUCUUUACCAAAUUCUGUGACAUUGCCCGGCUCACUGGCAGUGCUUCCAUGGCCAAGAAGAUGGACAUCAUCAAGGGUCUUUUUGUUGCCUGCCGCCACUCAGAAGCCCGGUUCAUUGCCAGGUCCCUAAGUGGACGGCUGCGCCUCGGGCUGGCUGAGCAGUCAGUCUUGGCCGCGCUUGCCCAGGCUGUGAGCCUCACACCCCCUGGCCAAGAAUUUCCCCCAGCUGUUGUGGAUGCUGGGAAGGGCAAGACAGCAGAGGCCAGAAAGAUGUGGUUGGAAGAACAAAGCAUGAUCUUGAAGCAGACCUUCUGUGAGGUGCCUGACCUGGAUCGAAUCAUCCCUGUGCUGCUGGAACAUGGCCUGGAACAUCUCCCAGAGCACUGCAGGCUAAGCCCAGGGGUCCCUCUUAAACCAAUGCUGGCCCAUCCCACUCGGGGUGUCAGUGAGGUACUGAAACGCUUUGAGGAGGUGGACUUCACCUGCGAGUACAAAUAUGAUGGGCAGCGGGCACAGAUCCACGUUCUGGAAAGUGGAGAGGUGAAGAUCUUCAGCAGGAACCAGGAAGACAACACAGGAAAGUACCCAGACAUUAUCAGCCGCAUCCCCAAGAUUAAACUCCCCUCAGUCACAUCUUUCAUCCUGGACACUGAGGCUGUGGCCUGGGACCGGGAAAAGAAGCAGAUCCAGCCAUUCCAAGUGCUUACCACACGAAAGCGCAAGGAAGUUGAUGCAUCGGAGAUACAGGUGCAGGUGUGUCUGUAUGCCUUUGAUCUCAUCUACCUCAACGGAGAGUCCCUGACUCGCCAGCCCCUGUCUCGACGCCGGCAGCUGCUCCGGGAAAACUUUGUGGAGACAGAGGGUGAGUUUGUCUUCGCCACCUCCCUGGACACCAAGGACAUUGAGCAGAUCGCUGAGUUCUUGGAGCAGUCAGUGAAGGACUCCUGUGAAGGGCUGAUGGUGAAGACCCUGGAUGUUGAUGCCACCUAUGAGAUUGCCAAGAGGUCACACAACUGGCUCAAGCUGAAGAAGGACUACCUUGACGGUGUGGGCGACACUUUGGACCUUGUGGUGAUUGGUGCCUACCUAGGCCGGGGGAAGCGUGCUGGCCGGUAUGGGGGCUUCCUGUUGGCUGCCUAUGAUGAGGAGAGUGAAGAACUGCAGGCCAUAUGCAAGCUGGGAACUGGAUUCAGUGAUGAAGAGCUGGAGGAGCAUCACCAGAGCCUACAGGCCCUGGUCUUGCCGACCCCACGCCCCUAUGUGAGGAUUGAUGGGGCAGUGGCCCCAGACCACUGGCUGGACCCAAGCGUUGUGUGGGAAGUGAAGUGUGCAGAUCUCUCCCUGUCCCCUGUCUACCCUGCUGCACGGGGCCUGGUGGACAAAGAGAAAGGGAUCUCCCUUCGUUUCCCUCGGUUCAUUCGAGUUCGUGGGGACAAGCAACCAGAGCAGGCCACCACCAGUGACCAGGUGGCCUGUUUGUACCGGAAGCAGAGUCAGAUUCAGAAUCAGCAAAGCUCAGACAUGGACUCCGACUUUGAGGACUGCUAUUAAUCCUCUGGUCUCCUGGGCCUGGGGCAGAGGUUGAGGGAACCUGGGUACUGUUUAUCUGGUGGUGUUGACUGGUGAGGACACUGGAACUUCUAGGGGCCACCAAGUGCCCUGGCCAAGAACACCAGCACUUAUGGCUCCAACCCAGUGGCCUGACGGGCAUUGUGUCCCACAUCUUCUAACAAUCCCCAUGCUCUUGGGAGACAGUGGUGCAGUACCAGGUGUGUGGUUCCCAUUUGUGUCACCCACCAUCUUAUUACCAGACAUUACCUCGAAUCCUCAGGGUAGCAUUUCAGUCAUCACUCCACAAGACCAGGUAGUGACUGUGGCCACGCUGCUUAUGGCUGUGCCCUGGACAUAAUAUCUUGUGUAUGGCAGGUGAUCAGAAGUACUAGCUGAGUGCCAGCCUCCUUUGAAACAUGACCAGAGACCAGGCAUCACUGUUAGUCUUCCCCUAGUGUCCCUUUCCUUCCCUCCAGUGCUUCAGGAGGGACUGCAGUUCUCACAGAGGUGCAGAUAGCCCUAGCCAGUUUGUGGUCCAUGAAGGUCACCUGAAGCUGGAGAAGACACAGACAUAUUGCAAACCUUAGGCAGAUGUGAUAGAAAGGCUCCUAAGAUGAGAGGGAGAAUCUUCUAGAAAGCCCUGCUUUUCUGAGAUGGUUCCAGAAAGAACUGGGCCCUGGCAGGUUUUAGGGACCUAUAGCAGCUAGCUUUCUGGCCACCAGCUGGAGGAGAAAUGGACCAGGAGGAGGGUAGACAAACAGGCAAAGUCCAGGUCUGCACAGCGAGAGCCAUUCUUGUGGGGACACAGUGAAACCUGUUUUAGUUGGCUAUUGCUGUGAUAAAAUACCAUGUCCAAAAGCAAGUUGAGGAAAGGGUUUAUUUCAGCCAUUAUCAACAAGGGAAGUCACGUUUGGAACCUGGAGGCAGGAACUGAUGCAGAGGCCACAGAGAUGUGCUGCUUACUGGCUCACUCCUUCUGGCUUGGUUGGCCUGUUUUCUUGACACAGAACCCAGCUGUAGCUGAAAACUUUCCACCUGGCCCAUGGUCAGGAUAAAACUCUCUCACCUGCCAGUUCUGU